GCACCCGUAGCUCAGCUGGAUAGAGUGCUGCCCUCCGAAGGCAGAUGCAAGCGCUUUCUGGUGCG
rnacentral:tRNA from 1 species